UACGGAGGGGGCUAGCGUUGUUCGGAAUCACUGGGCGUAAAGCGCACGUAGGCGGCUGGUUAAGUCAGAGGUGAAAGCCUGGAGCUCAACUGUAGAACUGCCUUUGAUACUGGCGAGCUGGAGUAUGGUAGAGGUUGGUGGAACUCCGAGUGUAGAGGUGAAAUGCGUAGAUAUUCGGAAGAACACCAGUGGCGAAGGCGGCCAACUGGGCCAUUACUGACGCUGAGGUGCGAAAGCGUGGGGAGCAAACAGG
rnacentral:rRNA from 1 species